AGAGUUUGAUCCUGGCUCAGGAUGAACGCUAGCGGCAGGCCUAACACAUGCAAGUCGAGGGGUAACGGAGGAAGCUUGCUUUCAGACGACGACCGGCGCACGGGUGAGUAACGCGUAUGCAACCUACCUGUAACAACGGAAUAGCCCGGAGAAAUUCGGAUUAAUACCGUAUAAUACUUAGAUGUGGCAUCACAUUUAAUUUAAAGAUUCAUCGGUUACAGAUGGGCAUGCGUAAUAUUAGCUAGUUGGUGAGGUAACGGCUCACCAAGGCUGUGAUAUUUAUGGGGUCUUAAAGGAUGGUCCCACACACUGGUACUGAGACACGGACCAGACUCCUACGGGAGGCAGCAGUGAGGAAUAUUGGUCAAUGGGCGCAAGCCUGAACCAGCCAUGCCGCGUGCAGGAUGACUGCCCUAUGGGUUGUAAACUGCUUUUAUACAGGAAGAAACCUGAUUACGUGUAAUCAGCUGACGGUACUGUAAGAAUAAGGAUCGGCUAACUCCGUGCCAGCAGCCGCGGUAAUACGGAGGGUCCAAGCGUUAUCCGGAUUUAUUAGGUUUAAAGGGUGCGCAGGCGGAAGAAUAAGUCAGUGGUGAAAUCCUACAGCUCAACUGUAGAACUGCCAUUGAUACUGUUUUUCUUGAGUAUAGUUGAGGUAGGCGGAAUGUGCAGUGUAGCGGUGAAAUGCUUAGAUAUUGCACAGAACUCCGAUUGCGAAGGCAGCUUACUAAACUAUUACUGACGCUCAUGCACGAAAGCGUGGGGAGCGAACAGGAUUAGAUACCCUGGUAGUCCACGCCGUAAACGAUGAUUACUCGUUGUCUGUGAUAUACAAUAGGCGACUGAGCGAAAGCAUUAAGUAAUCCACCUGGGGAGUACGUUGGCAACAAUGAAACUCAAAGGAAUUGACGGGGGCCCGCACAAGCGGAGGAACAUGUGGUUUAAUUCGAUGAUACGCGAGGAACCUUACCCGGGUUUAAAUGCAGGACGAAGUACUGGGAAACCGGUAUGUCUUCGGACGGACUGCAAGGUGCUGCAUGGCUGUCGUCAGCUCGUGCCGUGAGGUGUCGGGUUAAGUCCCAUAACGAGCGCAACCCCUAUCGUUAGUUGCUAGCAGGUAAUGCUGAGGACUCUAGCGAGACUGCCACCGUAAGGUGUGAGGAAGGUGGGGAUGACGUCAAGUCAGCACGGCCCUUAUAUCCGGGGCUACACACGUGUUACAAUGGUAGGUACAAAGGGCAGCUACACCGCGAGGUGAUGCUAAUCUCAAAAACCUAUCUCAGUUCGGAUUGGAGUCUGCAACUCGACUCCAUGAAGUUGGAUUCGCUAGUAAUCGUAUAUCAGCAAUGAUACGGUGAAUACGUUCCCGGGCCUUGUACACACCGCCCGUCAAGCCAUGGAAGCUGGGGGUACCUGAAGUCUGUAACCGUAAGGAGCGGCCUAAGGUAAAACUAGUAACUGGGGCUAAGUCGUAACAAGGUAGCCG
rnacentral:rRNA from 1 species